rfam:Oryctolagus cuniculus chromosome 13, whole genome shotgun sequence.
GCUCUCUGAAUGACUGGUGUGGCUGCAGAGAAACCAGCUUCCUUUAGAGAGC